AUGAUUUAAAACUGAUUUAAUUUAAUAUAGGGCGAGUUACUAUCGUUUUCAAAAGUAAUCAAUGUGCCACAUUAUUUUAUAAAUAAUAUGAAGUUAUUUAACUUUUAUAACUCAUUGAGACAUUGAUCAAAAUAACCUAUCAAAUAUUCAAAAUAUACAGAGUACUUUGUAAGAAAAAUAGAAAUCAUAACAUAAAACUCGUUAAGAGAUAAAAAUUAGACCAUUAUCCUUAUUUAAAAAAAAAAUUAAACCUUUUUCUUCUAAACAUAGUUAUAAAAAACUCACUUUUUUUUCUUUAAUAGUUGAAAUAAAAAACCUCAUAUAUUCAUAAUUAAGAGAUAAAAAUUAGAACUUUCUUUAAAAAAAAAAAACAUUACUGUAGAACUUUUAUCUCAAAAAAAUAAAAUAAAAUAAAUAAAGACAAUCAAUUACCGCGAAAAUGGUGAAUUGUUUUUUGGGUUUUUCCGCUAAGAAUCAGUUACUCAUAAUUAACAACGAAAAAAAAAAAAAAAAAAAAAAAAGACAAAAAAGCGCAGCGAGAAACGCUUCUCUCUCUUCAAUGGGUAAUCUGCCACUGCCAGCCACCGCUGCUACCUGUGUGCCAACCUGCCGCCGCACCGUCCAUCCACCGCACUCCAGUCUCCAGCCACCGCACUCCAGUCUCUAGCCACCGCACAGCCACACUCUAGACAAGUUAAUUCUGUAAUCAUACUUAACUAUUGAUUUUUAAGCUUUUAAUUUGUUAUUCUACAUGAGUUGUUGGGCUGAUUUUGUGCAUAAAUUACUUGUUUAUGUUAUUUAAUCUAUCAAGUUAGUGUGGAUGUUGCUUGAAAUUGAUGAUUUGUUAUUUAGUUUAUCAAAUUAGAGAGUUAGGGUUUCUAAAUUUUUUAGGAAUUGAUAAUAUUGGUUUUCUCGAUUUUUUUUUCCUUAGGAAUUGAUAAUAUUGGUUUUCUGGAUCAGCCACUGGUGUAAGUUAUCUUUAGGAAUGAAAUUAAUUAAUUGAUUUCUAUCAAUCAAAAUUCAAAGAAAAAAGGAUUACAAGCUCAGCCCACCUUCUUUAUGAAAUUAAUGACCAGAUAAUAUAGUCAUUAUUUAUCCUGCUUAACUUGAAUUUGCUUGUAUGAUACUGUAGUAAUGUUAGAUUUCAGAAUUGCAUUUAUUUCGUUAAUAUAUGAGCUGUUGUACAUUCAAUUGUUGCUUAAGAUCUGUAGCCAUUUUAUUGACAUCUCCACUUGAUUACAUGUGUUUAUUGAUGGAAAUAAUUCACAUACAAUAUUUUGUUGGAUGCAAUUUGGUACAAUAAUGUUUAGAUGGAAUAAUUUGCAUGCGAUUAACUAAUUUCUUUAAUCAAGACAUAUUCUACAUAGAUGUUCAAGAAUGUAGGUUGUGUGUGAGAGUUUGGUGUUAGCAUUGCUUUUAUGUGGAAAAAGCUGAGUUAGUGUUAUUGUCUACUCUGUAUUAUUGUUGCUUGAGUGUUAACAUUGCUGCUAUAGUUUUUCUGUUCAAUUGCUACUGUAUUUUGUCUGAAAUUAUUGCUGCAUGUAAUAAUGUUGUUGUUGCCAUGUUGUAUUGCUGCUAUUGUUACUUUGCAGUUGCCCCAUAGCUGCAGUUCUGUCCGUCCCAAAAUUAUGGACCUACAGUCGUUUUUAGCCCCUAGCCCCUUCAUAAAAGUUAUAGAUCUUGAAAAGUUAUCCAAUCUAGGCUCAAAUAUUUCUCAAUUUGGAAUUGUGUGCUGAAAGUUAUGCCUUCUAGAAAUUUCUGUGGUCUGCUAACUUGGUUCUAUCGCAACGAGGUUAUUAUUGUUCUCUUGAUGCCUAUGUGAGGUUGUUGCAUUGAGUUGGGUAGGGUUGCUAAAAUGAAUACUGUGCCUUUUCUUUUUUUAUUUUUAUUCUAUUUUCCCUACAUUUUUUACAAAUUAAUUACUUCUUAAAUUAAUAUGUGGAUUUGGAAAUACUGGUGUCUUUUGUAAACAAAUGCUUGAUUUUGGUGCAUUUCUAAACUUGAAGUGAUUGAGAAGAAUUCUUGAUGUUUUCAGAAAUUAGCUUGAGAGAACCAUACAAGUUAUAGUUGUGCCAGAUUAUAAACGGAUUUUGGGGCUCGGUUAUCUUGGUUGUCAGGUGGUUAGAUGUGCCCUAGCUCUAAAUAGAUCAUUAUUAUUGUAAAACUUGUGUGAUUUCACAGUUGUAAAAAUGAACAUGUUUGUGGAAAAAUAGAUCCUUUGUGAAUUUAUUAUGUUGAAUAUAUAAUUUGAGAAGGUUCAUCCUACCUCUCUUGUUUCAGUGUUUGCCAAUAACCACUGGUGUCAGGACUUACAACGAGAAAAUGCUUAACGAUGAGUUCUACAUUGGUCUAUGACAAAGAAGAGCCACUUGGAAGUAAUAUGAUGAGCUUCUUGAGGAGUUCAUGAGUGCAGUAAAGCAAAACUAUGGAGAAAAGUUCUUGUUAUACAGACUACCAACCAUAAUGCCUUCAAGCUGCUCUCAAAAUACUCAACAAGUUAUCGUGUGUUAGUUCAAUGGUGAUAUUCAUGUAUGUAAUGAGAUAGAUACGUUUUUAUGUAAUAAUUUACUUUGUGUCAGCUCUAACCCCCUUUUUUUUUUUCUUUCAAUUCUAUUCUUCUCUGCAUAGGGGACUACAUCUAUUGUCCUAACAAGAAUUCUUUUGGCACUGAAAUUAGUUGGUGGCACCUUGGCAGAACAUAGAUUUUUAUUCCUUGGACCAGGAGAGGUAAGAAUGAUACCUUUUUUUUCUUUGACGUUGAGCUCUGAGUGUAAAGUGGUUCUGAUUCAUUACAGUGAAGCUAACAUUUUUUAUUCAAUUACGGUGAAGCUGAUUCCUGUCAUAUGACAUUGUAGGCUGCCAAAGGUUUUAAUUCUUUGUUUAGAAUUUCAAUUAUUUAUCUUAAAUUUUGAAAAACUAUAUUAUUCUUUAACUUUUUUAUUUGAUUGGUAUUACAGGUAAAGCACAUGGAAGAAAGAUAUAUAUUGAAGACAGAGAAAGAGAGUUGAUUUAUUGGAGCUUUAGAUUGUCUAUAGUCAAUUGACUUGUUUCCCGCUUUGGACGUUACAAUCCCUCCAUUGUAUAUACAAUUAGAUACGAACAAUUAGUGGUACUAAUAAUGUACUAGUUUGUGAAUCUAUUUAGCUUUUUUAGGGUAGACACAUUGUGUAGUAUAUUUACUUGGAUAUUGUUUUUGGAUUUUGAUAGAUGUGUUCACAUGCGUUAUGAUAUAAAAAAUUUUACAUCUAUAUUGAUGUUCAGCUUCCAUUUA